rfam:Syphacia muris strain Valencia genome assembly, scaffold: SMTV_contig0000043
AGAUGUAGACAUCUAAGAGAGCCAUCUGUUGACAGUGUGCUUAUUCGUUGACUGUCAUGGAGUUGCUCUCUUCAGAUGUCUGUGU